rnacentral:lncRNA from 1 species
AAAAUAUACUGCAACAAAAUAGUAUUUCUCAGAUAAAAAUACUCCGAAUCUCUCUUCAUAUUAAACAUCUCUCUGCAACUUACACUCUCUCGGAUAAUUAUUAAACUACAGGAUAAAAUGUAUACUUCCACAAAGCAACAGCAACUUGCUCCACAAAGCAACAGCAACUUGCACCAUGAAUCAACUUGGUUUCUCUGUGAAACUCCUAAGCUCAUCCUGACGAAGCAACAGCAACUUGGAGAAUAUAUAAACUUGCUCCACAAAGCUGAUCCUA